AUUGAACGCUGGCGGCAUGCCUUACACAUGCAAGUCGAACGGCAGCAUGAUCUAGCUUGCUCGAUUGAUGGCGAGUGGCGACCGGGUGAGUAAUACAUCGGAACGUGCCCUGUAGUGGGGGAUAACUAGUCGAAAGAUUAGCUAAUACCGCAUACGACCUGAGGGUGAAAGUGGGGGACCGCAAGGCCUCAUGCUAUAGGAGCGGCCGAUGUCUGAUUAGCUAGUUGGUGAGGUAAAGGCUCACCAAGGCGACGAUCAGUAGCUGGUCUGAGAGGACGAUCAGCCACACUGGGACUGAGACACGGCCCAGACUCCUACGGGAGGCAGCAGUGGGGAAUGUUGGACAAUGGGCGAAAGCCUGAUCCAGCAAUGCCGCGUGUGUGAAGAAGGCCUUCGGGUUGUAAAGCACUUUUGUCCGGAAAGAAAUGGAUCUGGUUAAUACCUGGGGUCGAUGACGGUACCGGAAGAAUAAGGACCGGCUAACUACGUG
rnacentral:rRNA from 1 species